AACGGCCGUACCAUGCUGAAUAUACCGGUUCUCGUUAGAUCACCGAAGUCAAGCAUCAUUGGGCGCGGUCAGUACUUGGGUGGGUGACCACCUGGGAACACCGCGUU